rnacentral:tRNA from 1 species
GCGAAAGUGGCGGAACUGGGAGACGCACUGGAUUCAGGGUCCAGCGGCCGCAAGGUCGUGGGGGUUCAAAUCCCCCCUUUCGCA